AAAUUGAAGAGUUUGAUCAUGGCUCAGAUUGAACGCUGGCGGCAGGCCUAACACAUGCAAGUCGAACGGUAACAGGAAACAGCUUGCUGUUUCGCUGACGAGUGGCGGACGGGUGAGUAAUGUCUGGGAAACUGCCUGAUGGAGGGGGAUAACUACUGGAAACGGUAGCUAAUACCGCAUAACGUCGCAAGACCAAAGAGGGGGACCCUCGGGCCUCUUGCCAUCGGAUGUGCCCAGAUGGGAUUAGCUUGUUGGUGGGGUAACGGCUCACCAAGGCGACGAUCCCUAGCUGGUCUGAGAGGAUGACCAGCCACACUGGAACUGAGACACGGUCCAGACUCCUACGGGAGGCAGCAGUGGGGAAUAUUGCACAAUGGGCGCAAGCCUGAUGCAGC
rnacentral:rRNA from 1 species